UGCAAGUCGAACGAGAGAGAGGGAGCUUGCUUCCUCAAUCGAGUGGCGAACGGGUGAGUAACGCGUGAGGAACCUGCCUCAAAGAGGGGGACAACAGUUGGAAACGACUGCUAAUACCGCAUAAGCCCACAGGUCGGCAUCGACCAGAGGGAAAAGGAGCAAUCCGCUUUGAGAUGGCCUCGCGUCCGAUUAGCUAGUUGGUGAGGUAAUGGCCCACCAAGGCAACGAUCGGUAGCCGGACUGAGAGGUUGAACGGCCACAUUGGGACUGAGACACGGCCCAGACUCCUACGGGAGGCAGCAGUGGGGAAUAUUGCACAAUGGGGGAAACCCUGAUGCAGCGACGCCGCGUGGAGGAAGAAGGUCUUCGGAUUGUAAACUCCUGUUGUUGAGGAAGAUAAUGACGGUACUCAACAAGGAAGUGACGGCUAACUACGUGCCAGCAGCCGCGGUAAAACGUAGGUCACAAGCGUUGUCCGGAAUUACUGGGUGUAAAGGGAGCGCAGGCGGGAAGACAAGUUGGAAGUGAAAUCUAUGGGCUCAACCCAUAAACUGCUUUCAAAACUGUUUUUCUUGAGUAGUGCAGAGGUAGGCGGAAUUCCCGGUGUAGCGGUGGAAUGCGUAGAUAUCGGGAGGAACACCAGUGGCGAAGGCGGCCUACUGGGCACCAACUGACGCUGAGGCUCGGAAGUGUGGGUAGCAAACAGGAUUAGAUACCCUGGUAGUCCACACCGUAAACGAUGAUUACUAGGUGUUGGAGGAUUGACCCCUUCAGUGCCGCAGUUAACACAAUAAGUAAUCCACCUGGGGAGUACGACCGCAAGG
rnacentral:rRNA from 1 species